rnacentral:rRNA from 1 species
GAUGAACGCUAGCUACAGGCUUAACACAUGCCAGUCGCGGGGCAGCAUGGGGGUUGCUUGCAAUCCCCGAUGGCGACCGGCGCACGGGUGAGUAACGCGUAUCCAACCUGCCCUUCACCACGGGAUAACCCGGCGAAAGUCGGACUAAUACCGUAUGUUGUCCAUUGACGGCAUCCGAUUUGGACGAAAGGCUUGGCGGUGAGAGAUGGGGAUGCGUCCGAUUAGCCAGACGGCGGGGUAACGGCCCACCGUGGCUACGAUCGGUAGGGGUUCUGAGAGGAAGGUCCCCCACACUGGAACUGAGACACGGUCCAGACUCCUACGGGAGGCAGCAGUGAGGAAUAUUGGUCAAUGGGCGUAAGCCUGAACCAGCCAAGUAGCGUGCAGGAUGACGGCCCUAUGGGUUGUAAACUGCUUUUAUGCGGGGAUAAAGUGGCCCACGUGUGGGCUUUUGCAGGUACCGCAUGAAUAAGGACCGGCUAAUUCCGUG